rnacentral:misc_RNA from 1 species
AACCUUAUGGACCUGCGGGCGUAUACCUGCGGAAGGAUCAUUAUCAAAACAGCGGCCUUCGGGCCUUGCUGCACCCUUGUCUUUUGCGCACCGUAUUGUUUCCUCGGCGGGCUUGCCUGCCGGUUGGACAUUAUCAAACCUUUUUGUAGUUGCAAUCAGCGUCAGAAAAACAAUAAUUAUUACAACUUUUAGCAACGGAUCU